GAGGGUAUAGCUCAAGUGGUAGAGCACAUGCUUAGCAUGCAAAAGGUCCUGGGUUCAAUCCCCAGUACCUCCU
rnacentral:tRNA from 1 species